GAAUUGGAGAGGAUCAAAAACACCCAACAAGAGAGUGCUUCUCGUAAAGAAGCAGCACAGGGAGGGAUGGAAGUGUACAAAGAGCUGUAUCUGGAGGAAGUGAAAACCAGAAGAUGCCUUGCCAAGAAACUGGAAAGGCUGGAAAAGCUUCUGAGGAUAGAGAGGAGGAAACUCCGGGUUAAUGAAGAGAAAGGAAGUCAGUCCCAGCUGGAAGAAAUGAAGAAGAGAUAUUCUGAAAAGGUCAAGGAAGUCGAUGGAUUCCAAAGAGAGGUUGCUGAACUUUCCCAGCAGUUGGACAGGGAACGUGAACAGUGCACGC